AUACUUAAUUGAUAGGAGAGAUACCAUGGUAAGGAAGGUAGUUUUCCCAGGGCAACACUUAAUUUGUUGUUUUAAGGAUAUGUUAAACCCUGAGACUUCCACAAAUGGGAGAACUUAGCAGUGUAACUUGUGUUAUUGGAGCACUAUGUUCCUGCUUUCUUCUUUC
ensembl:snRNA U1 U1 spliceosomal RNA